AACGAACGCUGGCGGCAUGCCUAACACAUGCCAGUCGAACGAGACCUUCGGGUCUAGUGGCGCACGGGUGCGUAACGCGUGGGAACCUGCCCUUAGGUUCGGAAUAACUCCCCGAAAGGGGUGCCAAUACCGGAUAAUGUCUUCGGACCAAAGAUUUAUCGCCUUUGGAUGGGCCCGCGUUGGAUUAGCUAGUUGGUAGGGUAAAAGCCUACCAAGGCGACGAUCCAUAGCUGGUCUGAGGGGAUGAUCAGCCACACUGGGACUGAGACACGGCCCAGACUCCUACGGGAGGCAGCAGUGGGGAAUAUUGGACAAUGGGCGAAAGCCUGAUCCAGCAAUGCCGCGUGAGUGAUGAAGGCCUUAGGGUUGUAAAGCUCUUUUACCCGGGAUGAUAAUGACAGUACCGGGAGAAUAAGCUCCGGCUAACUCCGU
rnacentral:rRNA from 1 species